UACGUAGGGUGCAAGCGUUAAUCGGAAUUACUGGGCGUAAAGCGUGCGCAGGCGGUUAUGCAAGACAGAGGUGAAAUCCCCGGGCUCAACCUGGGAACUGCCUUUGUGACUGCAUAGCUAGAGUACGGUAGAGGGGGAUGGAAUUCCGCGUGUAGCAGUGAAAUGCAUAGAUAUGCGGAGGAACACCGAUGGCGAAGGCAAUCCCCUGGACCUGUACUGACGCUCAUGCACGAAAGGCGUUGGGGAGCAAACAGG
rnacentral:rRNA from 1 species